AGUAAAGUGGCGACCGGGUGAGUAACACGUGACUAACCUACCUUUCCGAGUGGGGGGAGUAAACCUCGGGAAACCGGGGCUAAUACCGCAUAACAUCUUUGGAGUGGAAAUUCUGGAGAUCAAAGGAGCAAUUCGCUGGAAGAGGGGGUCGCGGCUGAUUAGCUAGUUGGCGGGGUAACGGCCCACCAAGGCUUAGAUCGGUAGCCGGCCUGAGAGGGCGCACGGCCACACUGGAACUGAAACACGGUCCAG
rnacentral:rRNA from 1 species